rnacentral:lncRNA from 1 species
AUACAUUUAACAGUACUCCUUAAUAUUCUCUUUUUACUCAGUUUAUUGUAUUCAAUUUCUGCUGCCCUUCAGAGCGCAAACUGAACAAACAUCUUCAAUUAUUGCAUUUAUUUAUGUAACAUCUUUAAUUUCCCAUUUUGUAUUUUAAAAUCACAUUAAUAUCCAGGAAGAUGCUUUUUCUCAUUUAAUAUAAUAAUCUUAAGAUACUUAUCUUGAAUGUUAAUGAAAUUAUAAGGUGCAUUAGUGAUAGAGGAUUUCAGUGGAAAUUAAGGUGAUAGAAUAGUCAAAAGCUUUUAUCCCACUUUGCAUUUAUUCACUUAGAUGUGACAACUGUAAGAUACACGUUAAAUACCUCCUUCCCCCAAUAUAUAGGAUGAAUAUGAAGAUAAAUAUCUGCUAGUAGCUAUGGAAGGUAUAACAUAACAAAAUUUAAAGACAUCAUGGUUUACUUAGGAUAAAAUAUUAGAGAUAAUGUAUGAUUACCAAGCAUGAAAAUAUUAGCAGCUUUUAAAUUCCUGAAAAAUUAUACCGAAAUCCUUGAAAGACUUUCAACACACAUAAACAAAGAAUGCUUAAAUACAAAUGGAAUUUUAUGUACUACUAACAGUUAAAAAUCUAAAACCAAAUGCAUUUCAUCCAUUUUCAGUGAGGCCCUAUGAGUGCUAGGCCUGGAGUUUGAUGGAAAAAUCACCAUUUUCCUCUUUUUUUUUUUUUUUGAACUUAGCUUCUAGCAAGGAAGAAAGGCAAAAGCUACAUUAAAAAUACACAUAUAAUAUUAAAUUAUUAUUUUUUAGUUGUAGAUGGACACAAUACCUUUAUUUGUUUUUAUUUUUAUGUGGUGCUGGGGAUCAAGCCCAGUGCCUCAUGCUAGGCAAGUGCUCUACCACUGAGCCACAGCCUCAACCCCAAUAUAUAAUAUUUUUGUUAUGGAGAAAAUAAAAUACAGUUAAUUACUUUGACAAAAAUAGCUUUUUCUGAGGAGAGUCGGUGGGGACCUUGAGUAAAGUGAGAAGCAUUAGAGAAGGGGAAGGGAAAAUGAUAAGAGCAAUUGUAAACAACUCUUUCAAGAAAUCUACUCUCAAGACUGGGCAUAGUGGUUCUCCUGUGAUCCCAGCCUCCUCAGGAGGCUGAAGCAGAAGGAUCAUAAGUUUGAGGCCAGCCCAGGGAACUUGGCAAGACUCUGUCUCAAAAUAAAAAUUGAAAGGCUAGGGUUGUCAUUCAGUGUGUAGAGUCCCUGAGAUUGAUUCCUAGUACUGGAGAAAAAGAAAUGACUCUUAAAUGGAAGCAAAGGAGAAUGAAGCAAAGAAACAGGGUAUUAGCUUAAGAGAGAUGUCAGGUUAAGGGGACUUUCAAGAGAUAAGAGGUAAUGUAUCUUCUAUUAAUGGAAAUCAUCUUGUAUGGAGUGGAAAACUGAUGGUCUAUUGGUUUCCUAGGGUUGGUAUAACAAAGUGCCAUAAACUGGGUAGAUGAGGAUACAGAAAAUUUCUGUCUAACCCACAGUUUUGGAGGCUAGAAGCCUGGAAUCAAGCUCUGGGAAGAUCACACUUCCUCUGAACUCUGGCUUGUCUCUUCUUAGCUUCUAGUGGUUUGCUGGCAUUUUUUGGCAUUCCUUAGUGCGAAGCUGCAUUAUUCCAAUUUCUGUAUUUAUUGUCACAUGGUUCUCCCUGUGUGUCUUUGUAUGUCUCCACCUGGCUCUCUUUUUAUGAUAACAGUCACAUUGGAUCAAGGUCCACCCUACUCUAGUAUGACUUCAUCUUAACUAAUUCCAUCUACAAUGAUCCUAUUUUCAAACCAGGUCCCAUUCUGAGUUACUAUACAUUAGAACUUCAACAUAUCUUCUCGGGGAACACAAUUUAACCCAUAAAAAAUACAGUGGUAUCUUGAUAUGGAUAAAGAAUGAAAUGAACUUCUAGGAGGUAAGAAAUAAUAUUUUCUGCUCUUGGGAAUAAUCCUGUACAUAGGUGAAACUGAUGAUACAGUAAAAGAGAAAAGGGAUCAUUUUAGGAAAAAGAACUUGAGUAGGCAAGAGAAGGGGUUUGUUGUACCAGUGGAGGGCUGGCCUUAUAAAAAAAUACUUAGAAAAUUCAUUUUCUGUAAUAAUAGAGAAAUCAGAAGUUAAGAUUUCAGAUAAAGGUGGGCUGUAGAUUUAAUGACAAAAAGAGAAGUUUCUUUUCCGAGUAUUUACAUAGUCAUGUGCUGCAAAACUACGUUUCAGUCAAUGAUGGGCUGCUUGUACAAAAGUGGUACCAGAAGAGUAUAUCACCUAACGACAUGGAAGGAGUUUUAGUUCGUGCAAGUACAUUCUGUGAUGCUCACACAAUGACAAAUCACUGAUGUGCCAAUAAGGAACUAUUUUCUCAGUGAAAAAUAAAUGAAAGUUUCUCAUUUGAAACUCAGAUCAAUGUCAUAAUCAUCAUUUCUACCAUUUUAGGGAAUCAUGGUAUGUUUUGAGAAAAGAAAGAACUAUCUGAGAUUACAGCACAACACUUAAGACACACACACACACACACACACACACACACACUUUUGUACAUUUUACAUUUAUUGUCUACUAUGUGCCUUUAUGCUAGACAUUAUAUAUGUAUUAUCUAUUUUAAGCCUCACAGCGUUUGACAAUGGUAUUUCCUGGCAAAGAAUUUCUUUGUUUAUACAGGUAAAAUACAUAAGAAUUAUAUAUGUUCACACAGUAGUCCAGAGACUGAGGAACAUACAGUCCUUUGAAGGUGUUUAUGUAGCCAGUUCAAAGUUGAGAAGAAUAGAGUUUCAGUUCUUCAGGGGGCUGGCUGGGGCUGUUGUUCAUCAGCAGGACAAAACUUUGUAUGUAUGAGGAGACCCUAGGUUCUAUCUCCAGUGCUGAAAAAAGAAUUAAAAUAUUUGAGAUA